rnacentral:lncRNA from 1 species
CUCAUUUUACUGACCGAAAUCUCUGUCUAUAGAAAGGAUCCAUAAAUCAGGUCUAGAAAGAUUGCAGACUGAAGGGUUGAGGCAGGAUCCAUGUACAACUCUGAACUAUGAUAACUGAAAAGGAACCUCCCAACUUUUCACUUGGAGCUGCUAAAUGUGCUUGCAUACUUGGAUAUUGAAGACAGCUGCUCCAAAAACAGGUACUGCAUUGCAGAUGAUCUUUGUUUGGUCACACCAACUGGAGGAGUAUGGGGAGUCCUGA